GCUUCCUACAGCGAGCCUUCUCUCCUCUUCCCUCCACAAGGAUAUUGAUCAAAAUGAAAUUCGUCCUCGCCGCCCUUGCUGCCCUGUUGGUGGUAGCCCUCGUCAACGCAGACGGUUAUGGCCAUGGCCAUGGCCACGGACAUGGCCACGGACAUGGACACGGUGGGUACGGACACGGCCAUGACCACGGCCACAGCAAAGGACAUAAGAUUGACGGCAGCUACGGCGGUGGAUACUCCAGCAACCACUUCCACCUAAGCGGCGGAAAGGGACAUCAUGGCUACGGUCACGGACACGGCCACGGACAUGGCCAUGGCUAUCACUAAAGAACCGCCGCUUCUUUGAUUUAACUCAAAAUAUCCUCACUCUCUUUCUGCUCGAAGCAGCGUCUCCUUCUCUGAAUCUCCCGAUUUUUCAUCGACUGAACUUUUUUGUGAAGUUUUGCUAUUUAUUAUUAAAUAUAACUGAAAGAAAA